CCACUGCUGAGGAGUCCCAUACUAAGACGAAACGGCCGUCCAGUGC
rnacentral:hammerhead_ribozyme from 1 species